AACAGGAAGGGGGGAAAUAUUUUCACACGGCACUGUAUAAAAGAAUACAUUUGACUAAAGUGAUCAUCAAUUGGAAGAAGUUUCAACUGACAAGUCGAGAACAGUCUGCUGUGGUGAACACGACAAUGAAGUGGUUGAUCUUGGCUUUCUGCGUCGCCGUGCUGGUCACAGCUGGUGAAGCUCUGACAUGCCAUGCCUGUAUUAAAAUGUAUAAGGGACCAUGUCUUCCUUUCAACAGCCAGUGUGUAGAAGGCCAAGUCUGCCGUGAUAUCGUACCGGCCGAACAUGGACAGUAUUGCGCGUGGCCGUGAACGUGACAGCGGGCAAACCCCCGCACCCUGAAGUGCUCCAGAAUGGACCACUGUGACCAUCCUUUCAGAAAAGAAUCAAAGGAUUGGAGUGUGAUGGU